UGGAUGCAGAAGACGAAGAGAAAGGACAAAAAAGUGAAAGAGGAAAUAAGAAUAAAAACGGGAGGACCUGAGAAAGCGUCAAAAAUUACGACGCGUUGAUUUGGGUAUAGCGCGCGAUGACACUGUUUGACAAUGGAUAACGCAACGCUUAGCGCUCCAAUUUAGGGACGGCAGGAAGGCAGUCGCCAAAUUCACCGGAGGUUGUUUACUGGUUAUAUUGUGAUUCGCAUUAAUCUAAUCCUUCACACUCACUUGUUAUGACAGUACGAAUCGGAUUAGAUCCGUGCGGAUGGAAUCCGUCGGAUACCGUAAUAGGCAUGAUAAUUUUAAACCAGGCGAUCUAACAUCCAGAAAGUGCGUACGCUACGUCGCUGACUGCCAGCGCUUUUAAAAUGAUAGUUAAAAUUUAUUCCAGUAACAUAUAAAUAUUGUAGUACAUAAUACCUCGUUGUGCAGCCUUGAUAGGUUAUGAAAAUGUUGGACGCAGAGCGAAACCCGGUAUAAACAGGGUACAAUUUAUUGAAAAAGAAAGGACCUCAAUUCAGAAUGAAGCAUAAAGUGAGGCAUUUAUAUCUUAGUUAUUAUAAUUAUGAUGUAAAAGAUAUAACGGAUUUAAAAUGAACCAUUUAUAAAAACGAAAAUCAUCAAAAAUAUCUUAACAAGCAAUUGUUAAGCAAACAACAAAACCGACUUCAAUUCUCAUGUAAAAAUUUAAGAUUAUCGUUAAUUUCUUCAUUAUCCGAUUAUCGGAUUUAAACCAAAUUAAUAAGGGACCACCUGUGAGGUAAAACAUUUCCUUAAAAAAAAAUAUAAUAAUUAUAGUAAUCGGUUAACUAGGUCCUAAAUUAUGCGGUAACAUAAAUUAAAAAAAUAAAAAGUAUUCCGACGAAUUGAUCACCUUCUCCUUUUUGUGAAGUAGGUUAAAAAUAAUAUAUAAUGUAAAUCCAACUUGAGACGGACCGCCAUUAAAAAAAAA